GCCCACUUGGCGCAAUGGUUAGCGCACCUGACUUCUACGUUUCUCUCUCUCAAGAGAUACUUGAGUCAUCAGGAGGCUGCAAGUUCGAGUCUUGCAGUGGGUG
rfam:Arthrobotrys oligospora ATCC 24927 unplaced genomic scaffold scaffold00117, whole genome shotgun sequence.